rnacentral:tRNA from 1 species
GUCGCUGUGGUGUAGCGGUCAGCAUACGACGGUGCCAUCGUCGAGUCGCGGGUUCGAACCCCGCCAGCGACU